GGUGGGAGCGAGCCUGCUCGCGAUAGCGCUAGGUCAGCCGGCAUCGGUAUUGACUGAUACACCGUUAUCGCGAGCAGGCUCGCUCCCACA
rnacentral:misc_RNA from 1 species